CUUCAUUGCAACAAACCGUCCGCUUCUGUUGGUGUAUACAGUGGAAUCGAUCAAUGGUUUCGCCCCUCCACGAAAGUCCUGAUUCCAUCCGAUUUCAAAACCAUUUGUCUGAGAUGCCUUUUGUUGGACCCCCAUCACACUCAAUUUCCACAACUCAAACACAAUAAUCAGGUUCGCCUUCCUGUUUUUAGCCGGGGACGAACCGCAUUGUGAUCAUCGUCAUGUUUGAAGCCCAGGUUCUGCAUUUGAUUCGAAAUACUUGGGAGAGUGUUCAUGAUCUCUCAUUAGAGACAUUAAGGAUCAGUGUUUGGCAGGUUUCUUCACAAAUACUGAGAUGUUGUCCUCAAAGAUUUAAAAUUGAAGGCAGAGGCACUAAACUCUUUAAAUCUUCCUGUUGCUGUCAAAGCUGGGAUAGUGGGCACCAUAACUUUGAUGAGUCGAGCUUGAAAUAUUUAAACUUGUGA